GACGAACGCUGGCGGCGUGCUUAACACAUGCAAGUCGAACGGUAAGGCCCUUCGGGGUACACGAGUGGCGAACGGGUGAGUAACACGUGGGUGAUCUGCCCUGCACUUCGGGAUAAGCCUGGGAAACUGGGUCUAAUACCGGAUAGGACUCCUGGCUUCCUGGCUGGGGGGGGAAAGCUUUGCGGUGUGGGCUGGGCCGGGGGCCUAUCAGAUUGUUGGUGGGGUAAUGGCCUACCAAGGCGACGACGGGUAGCCGGCCUGAGAGGGUGACCGGUCACACUGGGACUGAGAGACGGCCCAGACUCUUACGGGAGGCAUCAGUGGGGAAUAUUGCACAAUGGGCGCAAGCCUGAUGCAGCGACGCCGCGUGAGGGAUGACGGCCUUCGGGUUGUAAACCUCUUUCAGCUAUGACGAAGCGCAAGUGACGGUAGUAGCAGUAGAAGGACCGGCCAACUACGUGCCAGCCGCCGCCGUAA
rnacentral:rRNA from 1 species